UACGGAGGGUGUGAGCGUUGUCCGGAAUCACUGGGCGUAAAGGGCGCGUAGGCGGCCUGAUAAGUAGGGGUGAAAUCCUGCGGCUUAACCGCAGGGCUGCCUUCUAAACUGUCAGGCUUGAGCACAGUAGAGGCAGGUGGAAUUCCCGGUGUAGCGGUGGAAUGCGUAGAGAUCGGGAAGAACACCCGUGGCGAAGGCGGCUCUCUGGGACGGUACUGACGCUGAGACGCGAAAGCGUGGGGAGCGAACAGG
rnacentral:rRNA from 1 species